CAGCCGCCGCGGGAAUACGCAGGGUCCGAGCGUUGUCCGGAAUUAUUGGGCGUAAAGAGCUCGUAGGCGGUCUGUCGCGUCUGCCGUGAAAUCCUCAGGCUCAACCUGAGGCGUGCGGUGGGUACGGGCAGGCUAGAGUGCGGUAGGGGAGAAUGGAACUCCUGGUGUAGCGGUGGAAUGCGCAGAUAUCAGGAAGAACACCGAUGGCGAAGGCAGUUCUCUGGGCCGUAACUGACGCUGAGGAGCGAAAGCGUGGGGAGCGAACAGGAUUAGAUACCCCUGUAGUCCCUGUCUCUUAUAC
rnacentral:rRNA from 1 species